rnacentral:rRNA from 1 species
GAUGAACGCUGGCGGCGUGCCUAAUACAUGCAAGUCGAGCGAACAGACGAGGAGCUUGCUCCUCUGACGUUAGCGGCGGACGGGCGAGUAACACGUGGAUAACCUACCUAUAAGACUGGGAUAACUUCGGGAAACCGGUGCUAAUACCGGAUAAUAUAUUGAACCGCAUGGUUCAAUAGUGAAAGACGGUUUUGCUGUCACUUAUAGAUGGAUCCGCGCCGCAUUAGCUAGUUGGUAAGGUAACGGCUUACCAAGGCAACGAUGCGUAGCCGACCUGAGAGGGUGAUCGGCCACACUGGAACUGAGACACGGUCCAGACUCCUACGGGAGGCAGCAGUAGGGAAUCUUCCGCAAUGGGCGAAAGCCUGACGGAGCAACGCCGCGUGAGUGAUGAAGGUCUUCGGAUCGUAAAACUCUGUUAUUAGGGAAGAACAAAUGUGUAAGUAACUAUGCACGUCUUGACGGUACCUAAUCAGAAAGCCACGGCUAACUACGUG